rnacentral:rRNA from 1 species
CGCGUAGGCGGGUUGUUAAGUGAGAGGUGAAAGGUUCAGGGCUCAACCCGAACAGUGCCUUUCAUACUGGCGACCUUGAGUGUGGGAGAGGCGAGUGGAAUUCCUGGUGUAGCGGUGAAAUGCGUAGAUAUCAGGAGGAACACCCAUGGCGAAGGCAGCUCGCUGGCCUACAACCGACGCUGAGGCGCGAAAGCGUGGGUAGCAAACAGGAUUAGAUACCCUGGUAGUCCACGCCCUAAACGAUGAAUGCUAGGUGUUAGUGGUAUCGACCCCACUAGUGCCGCAGCUAACGCAAUAAGCAUUCCGCCUGGGGAGUACGGCCGCAAGGUUGAA